rnacentral:rRNA from 1 species
UACGUAGGUGGCAAGCGUUGUCCGGAUUUACUGGGCGUAAAGCGCGCGCAGGCGGACUGGUUAGUCCGGGGUGAAAGCUCAUGGCUCAACUGUGAGUGGUCCCCGGAUACUGCCCGUCUUGAGGUGUCUAGAGGAGAGCGGAAUUCCCGGUGUAGUGGUGGAAUGCGUAGAUAUCGGGAAGAACACCAGUGGCGAAAGCGGCUCUCUGGGGACCACCUGACGCUGAGGCGCGAAAGCGUGGGGAGCGAACCGGAUUAGAUACCCGGGUAGUCCACGCCGUAAACGAUGAGCACUAGCUGUCGGGGGUAUCGACCCCUCCGGUAGCGCAGCUAACGCAAUAAGUGCUCCGCCUGGGGACUACGGCCGCAAGGCUAAA